rnacentral:ncRNA from 1 species
UGACCUCAGAUCAGGCAAGGCUACCCGCUGAAUUUAAGCAUAUUAAUAAGCGGAGGAAAAGAAACUAACAAGGAUUCCCCUAGUAAUGGCGAAUGAAGCGGGAACAGCUCAAAUUUAAAAUCUCCGUUGCUUGCAACGGCGAAUUGUAGUUUCGAGAAGCACUUUCUCGGCGGAUCCGAGGUCGUCCAAGUUGCUUGGAACAGCACGUCGUAGAGGGUGACAACCCCGUCUGCGGCGACCUCGGCCGUUCACGAUGUGCUUUCGACGAGUCGGGUUGUUUGGGAAUGCAGCCCAAAAUGGGUGGUAAACUCCAUCUAAAGCUAAAUAUUGGCACGAGACCGAUAGCGAACAAGUACCGUGAGGGANAGAUGAAAAGCACUUUGAAAAGAGAGUUAAAAAGUACGUGAAACCGUUAAAAGGGAAACGAAUGGGGUUAGCAAUGCGUCGUGCGAGAUUCAGCCGGUGGGUGGGCCAGGCGGGCGGUUGGCGGAUCUGAAUGGACCGCUGCCGUU